UACGUAGGGUGCGAGCGUUGCCCGGAUUUAUUGGGCGUAAAGGGCGCGUAGGCGGCCACGCACGUCCGUCGUGAAAUCGCCCGGCUCAACUGGGCGGGGUCGGCGGAUACGGCGUGGCUGGAGCAAGCUAGGGGGCAAUGGAAUUCCCGGUGUAGUGGUGGAAUGCGUAGAUAUCGGGAGGAACACCAGUGGCGAAGGCGGUUGCCUGGAGCUUUGCUGACGCUGAGGCGCGAAAGCGUGGGGAGCGAUCCGG
rnacentral:rRNA from 1 species